CAACCCCUCGUGCCCUCCUCUCUCUCUCUCUCUCUCUCUCUCUCGGGAAUCCUAGUGCUCCACUCCUCCCUUGCCGCCGCCACCUCCGGCGCCCGAUCCUGGUGACCUCAGGCGGGAAUCGAAGACCCCAGUUCGGCAAGAUCCGGCGCGCGCGGCGAGAUCCAUCUCUCUCCCACACACGAGAAGGAAAAUCCCCCGCCCCAUUCCCAUGACUCAUCUGCCUCUCCCUCGAUCCCCUUCCUUCCCGAGGACGCACGCGCCGCCGCCUCCCCUUCUCCCCUCUCCCUCCCACAUCGCGCCGCCAUCCACCUCGCUGCCUCCUAGAUGUAUAUUUUAUCUGGACGGGAUUUCCUCCUCCGCAUCCUCCCCUCGUCAGAUCCAUCCAUCCGUUUUUCCAUUCGAUCCACCUGACACCAUCGCAUCCCCUUCUCGCUCGCAGGGUUGCAAGCGAUUCGAUUCGGUCUGGGUCCAUGGCGUCCACGGCCGUGGCGGCGCUCGCGGUGACGGACGAGCUGGCCCUGCCGCUCCGCGCAGUGGGGGACCUGGCGGCGGCCGCCGGCGUCUCGCGGGAGGAGGUCGUCAUCAUCACGCAGUGCACCUCGCUCGGUGCUGGAGCAGUUGAGCGGACAGUCACUGGUGUUCUCCAAGGCAGCGAGGUACACCGUCAGGUCGUUCAGUAUCAGGCAUAAUGAGAAGAUUGCAUGCUACAUGACUAUCAGGGUUGAGAGGGCGAUGCAGCUGCUGGAGAGUGGCCUGAAGGUGAAGGAGUAUGAGCUGCUCAGGAGGAACUUCAACGACACUGGAUGCUUUGGUUUCGGUAUCCAGAGCACAUCGAUCUCGGUGUGAACUACCAAGACUCUUGAGUUUCUGGUGAUGCCAGCUGACACGAAGCCGAUCGAAAUCUUCCCCCACCCCCUAUUGCUCCCUGAUGAUAACAAGAUUUGGAAGUUGGGAAUCUGGGGAAUGCGAAGUUUAAGAGACCUGGAGUAUCUAGACUGUGAUUGCCAUUGUAUAUGUGUUAUAUGAUGAUGUAACACAAUGAUUCUGCUAUUGUAUCUUUGUUGUAUAAUGUAUCAAAGUGAUUUUGGCUAUUAUGUGAAGUACUACGUGUGUUCUCUAUCU